AGAUUGAACGCUGGCGGCAGGCCUAACACAUGCAAGUCGAGCGGUGGAGAGGUGCUUGCAUCUCUUGAGAGCGGCGGACGGGUGAGUAAUGCCUAGGAAUCUGCCUAGUGGUGGGGGAUAACGUUCGGAAACGGACGCUAAUACCGCAUACGUCCUACGGGAGAAAGCGGGGGACCUUCGGGCCUCGCGCCAUUAGAUGAGCCUAGGUCGGAUUAGCUAGUUGGUGAGGUAAUGGCGUCACCAAGGCGACGAUCCGUAACUGGUCUGAGAGGAUGAUCAGUCACACUGGAACUGAGACACGGUCCAGACUCCUACGGGAGCAGCAGUGGGGAAUAUUGGACAAUGGGCGAAAGCCUGAUCCAGCCACGCCGCGUGUGUGAAGAAGGUCUUCGGAUUGUAAAGCAACUUUAAGUUAGGGAGGAAAGGUUGUAACUUAAAUACGUUAGCUAACUUUGACGUUACCGACAGAAUAAGCACCGGCUAACUUCGCGCCAGCAGCCGACGUAAC
rnacentral:rRNA from 1 species